rnacentral:rRNA from 1 species
AGAGUUUGAUCCUGGCUCAGGAUGAACGCUGGCGGCGUGCUUAACACAUGCAAGUCGAGCGAAGCACUUUGGAAUGAUCCUUCGGGUGAAUGAAGAAGUGACUGAGCGGCGGACGGGUGAGUAACGCGUGGGUAACCUGCCUCACACAGGGGGAUAACAGUUAGAAAUGACUGCUAAUACCGCAUAAGACCACAGCACCGCAUGGUGCAGGGGUAAAAACUCCGGUGGUGUGAGAUGGACCCGCGUCUGAUUAGCUAGUUGGUGAGGUAACGGCUCACCAAGGCGACGAUCAGUAGCCGACCUGAGAGGGUGACCGGCCACAUUGGGACUGAGACACGGCCCAAACUCCUACGGGAGGCAGCAGUGGGGAAUAUUGCACAAUGGGCGAAAGCCUGAUGCAGCGACGCCGCGUGAAGGAUGAAGUAUUUCGGUAUGUAAACUUCUAUCAGCAGGGAAGAAAAUGACGGUACCUGACUAAGAAGCCCCGGCUAACUACGUGCCAGCAGCCGCGGUAAUACGUAGGGGGCAAGCGUUAUCCGGAUUUACUGGGUGUAAAGGGAGCGUAGACGGCGAUGCAAGUCUGAAGUGAAAGGCAUGGGCUCAACCUGUGGACUGCUUUGGAAACUGUGUUGCUAGAAUGUCGGAGAGGCAAGGGGAAUUCCUAGUGUAGCGGUGAAAUGCGUAGAUAUUAGGAGGAACACCAGUGGCGAAGGCGCCUUGCUGGACGAUGAUUGACGUUGAGGCUCGAAAGCGUGGGGAGCAAACAGGAUUAGAUACCCUGGUAGUCCACGCCGUAAACGAUGAACACUAGGUGUUGCGGGUAUCGACCCCUGCAGUGCCGUAGCUAACGCGAUAAGUGUUCCGCCUGGGGAGUACGCACGCAAGUGUGAAACUUAAAGGAAUUGACGGGGACCCGCACAAGCGGUGGAACAUGUGGUUUAAUUCGAAGCAACGCGAAAAACCUUACCAGGACUUGACAUUGAUAGAAUCCGGAUUGAAAGUCUGGAGUGCCCUUCGGGGAGCUUGAAAACAGGUGGUGCACGGUUGUCGUCAGCUCGUGUCGUGAGAUGUUGGGUUAAGUCCCGCAACGAGCGCAACCCUUGUCGUUAGUUGGUCAUAGCGGUAUACUUCUAUGUACCUCUCUAGCGAGACUGCCGGUGAUAAACCGGAGGAAGGUGAGGAGGACGUCAAAUCAUCAUGCCCCUUACGUUCUGGGCUACACACGUGUUACAAUGGCUGGUACAACGAGCAGCAAAUCAGCGAUGAUAAGCAAAUCUCUUAACCCAGUCUCAGUUCGGAUUGCACUCUGCAACUCGAGUGCAUGAAGUCGGAAUCGCUAGUAAACGCAGAUCAGCACGCUGCGUUGAAUACGUUCCCGGGUCUUGCACACACCGCCCGUCA